CAGAAUAGCUGUAACUGACGGUAAGAUCAUUAUCGAGAGUCUGCACCGAAUGCCCCUUUGCUCUGCUCUGGACGCGGUGUGCAGCUCACCCCUUACCCUUGCUUACAUGCACCUCUUGUUGUUUCCUCGGCGGGGCUACCCGCCGAUGGGAAGCCUAUCAAACCUCUUGCAUCAGCAUGAAAACUUCUGAAUACAACUUAAAUCUUUACAACUUUCAACAAUGGAUCUCUUGGUUCUGGCAUCGAUGAAGAACGCAGCGAAAUGCGAUAAGUAGUGUGAAUUGCAGAAUUCAGUGAAUCAUCGAAUCUUUGAACGCACAUUGCGCCCCUUGGUAUUCCGUGGGGCAUGCCUGUUCGAGCGUCAUUUACACCCUCAAGCUCUGCUUGGUGUUGGGCGUCUGUCCCGCCGUCUAGGCGUGGACUCGCCCCAAAGGUAUUGGCAGCGGUCCUCGCCAGCUUCUCGCGCAGCAGUUCGCGCUUUGGAGUGUAGCGAGGCCCGUAUCCAUAAAGAACACUUUCCAUAAUUGACCUCGGAUCACGUAGGGAUACCCGCUGAACUUAAGCAUAUAAAAACCCCGAAGAAA
rnacentral:rRNA from 1 species